rfam:Schistosoma haematobium scaffold114_11, whole genome shotgun sequence.
GCACUGCUGAUGAGUCCCAUAAUGGGACGAAACUUCCGUCCAGUGC